rnacentral:tRNA from 1 species
CGGGGAAUAGUUCAGAUGGCUAGAACGCUGCGUUUGGGACGCAGAGGUCGCAGGUUCAAGUCCUGUUUCCCCGACCA